rnacentral:rRNA from 1 species
CGUGAGAUGUUUGGGUUAAGUCCCGCAACGAGCGCAACCCCUAUUGUUAGUUGCUACGCAAGAGCACUCUAGCGAGACUGCCGUUGACAAAACGGAGGAAGGUGGGGACGACGUCAAAUCAUCAUGCCCCUUAUAUCCUGGGCUACACACGUAAUACAAUGGCGGUCAACAGAGGGAAGCAAAGCCGCGAGGCAGAGCAAACCCCCAAAAGCCGUCCCAGUUCGGAUUGUAGGCUGCAACUCGCCUGCAUGAAGACGGAU